rnacentral:rRNA from 1 species
GGAGUCUGGACCGUGUCUCAGUUCCAGUGUGGGGGACCUUCCUCUCAGAACCCCUACUGAUCGAAGGCCAGGUGGGCCGUCGACCCCGCCUGCUGCCUAAUCAGACGCAUCCCCAUCCCAUAGCGGUAAACCUUUGCUCCGAAUUAGAUGCCCGCUUCGGAAAACAUAGGGUAUUAAU